rnacentral:rRNA from 1 species
AGUGAACGCUGGCGGUAGGCCUAACACAUGCAAGUCGAACGGCAGCACAGUAAGAGCUUGCUCUUACGGGUGGCGAGUGGCGGACGGGUGAGGAAUACAUCGGAAUCUACUUUUUCGUGGGGGAUAACGUAGGGAAACUUACGCUAAUACCGCAUACGACCUACGGGGAAAGCAGGGGAUCUUUGGACCUUGCGCGGAUGAAUGAGCCGAUGUCGGAUUAGCUAGUUGGCGGGGUAAAGGCCCACCAAGGCGACGAUCCGUAGCUGGUCUGAGAGGAUGAUCAGCCACACUGGAACUGAGACACGGUCCAGACUCCUACGGGAGGCAGCAGUGGGGAAUAUUGGACAAUGGGCGCAAGCCUGAUCCAGCCAUACCGCGUGGGUGAAGAAGGCCUUCGGGUUGUAAAGCCCUUUUGUUGGGAAAGAAAAGCAGCAGGUUAAUACCCCGCUGUUCUGACGGUACCCAAAGAAUAAGCACCGGCUAACUUCGUG